UGGGGAAUUUUGGACAAUGGGCGAAAGCCUGAUCCAGCAAUGCCGCGUGUGUGAAGAAGGCCUUCGGGUUGUAAAGCACUUUUGUCCGGAAAGAAAUCCUCUGGGUUAAUACCUCGGGGGGAUGACGGUACCGGAAGAAUAAGCACCGGCUAACUACGUGCCAGCAGCCGCGGUAAUACGUAGGGUGCAAGCGUUAAUCGGAAUUACUGGGCGUAAAGCGUGCGCAGGCGGUUUUGUAAGACGGAUGUGAAAUCCCCGGGCUUAACCUGGGAACUGCAUUCGUGACUGCAAGGCUAGAGUAUGGCAGAGGGGGGUAGAAUUCCACGUGUAGCAGUGAAAUGCGUAGAGAUGUGGAGGAAUACCGAUGGCGAAGGCAGCCCCCUGGGCCAAUACUGACGCUCAUGCACGAAAGCGUGGGGAGCAAACAGGAUUAGAUACCCUGGUAGUCCACGCCCUAAAACGAUGUCAACUAGUUGUUGGGGAUUCAUUUCCUUAGUAACGUAGCUAACGCGUGAAGUUGACCGCCUGGGGAGUACGGUCGCAAGAUUAAAACUCAAAUGAAUUGACGGGGUCAUAGCUG
rnacentral:rRNA from 1 species